AUGAAGAUACCUCUUAAGAAUAAAAUCUUUGCAUGGUAUCUUCAUCGCGGAGUUAUUCUUACAAAAGACAACCUUAUUAAGAGGAAUUAGCAUGAAAGUACACAAUGUGUCUUUUGUCCUCAUUAUGAGACAAUAAAACAUUUAUUCUUCCAAUAUAAAUUGACUCAUUCUAUAUGGCCAGUCAUCCAAAUAGCUUAG
rnacentral:rRNA from 1 species